rnacentral:rRNA from 1 species
AUACGGAGGGUGCAAGCGUUAAUCGGAAUUACUGGGCGUAAAGCGUGCGUAGGCGGUUGGUUAAGUCUGCUGUGAAAGCCCCGGGCUCAACCUGGGAAUGGCAGUGGAUACUGGCUAGCUAGAGUGUGAUAGAGGAUGGGGGAAUUCCCGGUGUAGCGGUGAAAUGCGUAGAGAUCGGGAGGAACAUCAGUGGCGAAGGCGGCCAUCUGGAUCAACACUGACGCUGAGGCACGAAAGCGUGGGGAGCAAACAGGAUUAGAUACCCUGGUAGUCCACGCCCUAAACGAUGCGAACUGGAUGUUGGUCUCAACUCGGAGAUCAGUGUCGAAGCUAACGCGUUAAGUUCGCCGCCUGGGGAGUACGGUCGCAAGACUGA